GGUUAAUAUUCCUGCACCGUCGUAUGAUGCGAUGGGGGGACGGAUCGCGGAAGGUUGUCCGGGUGUUGGAAGUCCCGGUCGCUGCAUUGGAGAAGGUGCCCUGGCAAAUCCGGGCACGCAAUUCAAGGGUGUGGCGCGAGCGGCCUCGGCUGCGAAGCAACUGGAAGGGGUUCCAGGAAAAGCCUCUAAGCUUCAGUUUCACGUUGACCGUACCGCAAACCGACACAGGUGGGCGAGAUGAGUAUUCUAAGGCGCUUGAGAGAACUCGGGAGAAGGAACUCGG
rnacentral:rRNA from 1 species